rnacentral:rRNA from 1 species
GCAGUCGAACGGCAGCAUGAUCUAGCUUGCUAGAUUGAUGGCGAGUGGCGAACGGGUGAGUAAUACAUCGGAACGUGCCCUGUAGUGGGGGAUAACUAGUCGAAAGAUUAGCUAAUACCGCAUACGACCUGAGGGUGAAAGUGGGGGACCGCAAGGCCUCAUGCUAUAGGAGCGGCCGAUGUCUGAUUAGCUAGUUGGUGAGGUAAAGGCUCACCAAGGCGACGAUCAGUAGCUGGUCUGAGAGGACGAUCAGCCACACUGGGACUGAGACACGGCCCAGACUCCUACGGGAGGCAGCAGUGGGGAAUUUUGGACAAUGGGGGCAACCCUGAUCCAGCAAUGCCGCGUGUGUGAAGAAGGCCUUCGGGUUGUAAAGCACUUUUGUCCGGAAAGAAAUCGCACUUACUAAUAUUAGGUGUGGAUGACGGUACCGGAAGAAUAAGGACCGGCUAACUACGUGCCAGCAGCCGCGGUAAUACGUAGGGUCCAAGCGUUAAUCGGAAUUACUGGGCGUAAAGCGUGCGCAGGCGGUUGUGCAAGACCGAUGUGAAAUCCCCGGGCUUAACCUGGGAAUUGCAUUGGUGACUGCACGGCUAGAGUGUGUCAGAGGGGGGUAGAAUUCCACGUGUAGCAGUGAAAUGCGUAGAGAUGUGGAGGAAUACCGAUGGCGAAGGCAGCCCCCUGGGAUAACACUGACGCUCAUGCACGAAAGCGUGGGGAGCAAACAGGAUUAGAUACCCUGGUAGUCCACGCCCUAAACGAUGUCAACUAGUUGUUGGGGAUUCAUUUCCUUAGUAACGUAGCUAACGCGUGAAGUUGACCGCCUGGGGAGUACGGUCGCAAGAUUAAAACUCAAAGGAAUUGACGGGGACCCGCACAAGCGGUGGAUGAUGUGGAUUAAUUCGAUGCAACGCGAAAAACCUUACCUACCCUUGACAUGCCACUAACGAAGCAGAGAUGCAUUAGGUGCUCGAAAGAGAAAGUGGAUACAGGUGCUGCAUGGCUGUCGUCAGCUCGUGUCGUGAGAUGUUGGGUUAAGUCCCGCAACGAGCGCAACCCUUGUCUCUAGUUGCUACGAAAGGGCACUCUAGAGAGACUGCCGGUGACAAACCGGAGGAAGGUGGGGAUGACGUCAAGUCCUCAUGGCCCUUAUGGGUAGGGCUUCACACGUCAUACAAUGGUGCAUACAGAGGGUUGCCAAGCCGCGAGGUGGAGCUAAUCCCAGAAAAUGCAUCGUAGUCCGGAUCGUAGUCUGCAACUCGACUACGGAAGCUGAAUCGC